AGCAGCCGCGGUAAUUCCAGCUCCAAUAGCGUAUAUUAAAGUUGUUGCAGUUAAAAAGCUCGUAGUUGAACUUCGGGGUUUACCCAUUGGUCAGGCUUAAUUGUCUGUACUGGUGAGAUGAAUCUCUACCUUCUGAGGAACUUUCAUGCCAUUUAUUUGGUGUGAUUGGAAAUCAGGACUGUUAACUUUGAAAAAUUAGAGUGUUUAAAGCAGGCUAACGUCUGAAUACAUUAGCAU
rnacentral:rRNA from 1 species